UAUGAAUGUAGUGAAAUGUGUUAAGGGCCAAUUCUUGAUAACGGUAUCUAGUGGUAUCUAGUGUGUCUUCAAACCGUAGGACUAUGUGUAUAAAUGAGGAGGAUGUUGGUACUACAGUGUCUGACUGUCUGGUUCUCUGUGUUGUUUAGGUACUGGAGCGCAGGACAGCCUGAUGAUAGAGGGCAGGAGGACUGUGCUGAGAUAUACUUUAGACAAGAUGACCCUGUAAAGACAUGGAAUGAUGACAAAUGUGGCACAAAUCAUAACUGGAUCUGUGAGAAAGUGGUGUAACAAUAACACAGUAACAAACAUUGUGUCUCCUCUCUGUGUGUCUCUCUGUGUCUCUCAAUUCAUUUAAAUUAAAGGGGCUUUAUUGUCAUGGGAAACAUAUGCCAAAGCAAGAGAAGUAGAUAAUAAACAAAAGUGAAAUUAACAAUAAAAAAUAACAGUAAACAUUACACUCACAGAAGUUCCAAAAGAAUGAAGACAUUUCAAAUUCCAUAUCAUGUAUAUAUACAGUGUUGUAACAAUGUGCAAAUGGUUAAUGUACAAAAGGGAAAAUAAAUCAACAUAAAUACAGAGCCUUGAGGCCUCAUUUAUCAAUACUACUACUGCUUAACCAAUCAGAGUCUAAGCCCUGUUCUGUCCAUAGUUUUCCACCAUUUCAGUCCCAUUCAACGUAGAAACGGCCAACCAACGAUCGCAGAUUCACUUCUUCCUUCCCUGCCAACAUCUCCAUGGUGACUGGGGGCGCUGCGGCCAAUGGUACGGUGAGCCUCAUGGCGCCCGCCAGCACCCCGUCAGGAACAGAUGUAACCCUGUCCGUUGUCAGCAAAGUGACAGAUUUUACCUCUCCCAGAGCGGACUACCAGGCGUCUCCUCCAAGGGCAAUGGGAUCCUCAACACUUCUACAGUCGUGCGCCUCAGGGCCAAUAAUGUGGUCCGGGUGGCCUACAGAGCAACCUGCUGUUCAAAGAAGGUACUCUGUGGGGGUGGUUGUGAACUCUAAAGGCCAGGGCCCCGUUUCCCAAAAGUAUCUUAAGGCUAAGUCCAUCGUUUCAACGAUGUUCUAAGAUUAAUUUAGCCUUAAUCUGCUACUUAGCCUUAAUAUGCUUUUGGGAAACUGUGCCCAUGUGCCCAACUCUACAGCUGUACCUGUAGUUAGUACUACAUCCACCCAGGUCUCUGUCACCAACACUACAGAUGUACCUGCAGUUAGUACUACAUCCACCCAGGUCUCUG